AAUAGUCUGACAUAGUUUAGGUUUUCAUGAAAUUCCAGACAAAUACUUAACGAUUAGAUAGGGAGAUUAAUUUUAAAGGUUCCGGUUUUUGUUAGGGAUUUGCUGUCCGUUGGCGACUUCAAGAGUUCUACAGAAUGCGAUCUGUUGGUGCAAAUUUGAACUGUUAAAGACAAUGGUGUACGGUUGGGAUAUGAGAGAACAUUUCAAAAGGGAUUAUAGUUCUGUUUGAACUGUUUUUGCUCUUUCUUGAUUGAAAGCGUCAAUGGGUUGGACUUUAAGCUUCUGGAUUUUUCUUUUUCUGAAUCUGCAAGUUCUGUUGGUUAUCCAAUGAUUGUUUUUGUGCACAAUGUUAUACUACAUUUUCUGUAAUUGGAAUUUUGUUGUCUUUUCUUUC